rnacentral:rRNA from 1 species
GAUGAACGCUGGCGGCGUGCUUAACACAUGCAAGUCGAGCGAUGCACUUUAUUUGAAUUUCUUCGGAAAGGAAGACGAAGUGACUGAGUGGCGGACGGGCGAGUAACGCGUGGGUAACCUGCCUCAUACAGGGGGACAACAGCUGGAAACGGCAGCUAAACCCUCACACGCGAACAGCUUCGCAUGAAGAAGUGUGCAAAACUCCGGUGGUGUGAGAUGGACCCGCGUCUGAUUAUGUAGUUGGUGGGGUAAUGGCCUACCAAGCCAACGAACAGUAGCCGGCCAGAGAGAGCGACCGGCCACAUUGGGACUGUGGCACGGCCCAAACUCCUACGGGAGGCAGCAGUGGGAAAUAUUGAACAAUGGGCGAAAGCCUGAUGCAGCGACGCCGCGUGAGCGAAGAAGUAUUUCGGUAUGUAAAGCUCUAUCAGCAGGGAAGAAAAUGACGGUACCUGACUAAGAAGCACCGGCUAAAUACGUACCAGCAGCCGCGGUAAGAC